ACAGGGCGCACACGCUAUGCCGAGCGCUGAGCACCCCCGUCCCACAGGGAGCCAUCAGCUGAGUGCAGGUUCCUCAGCGAGGCACGGAGCAGCGGAGGCCUGCACAUUACCACCUACCCACUGCAGCAAUACCCGUUCCUCCAGCCCAAGCCACCCAGCACCCUGCCGCCGAGCCAGGAGGUGACAGCAAGAGUGGGCAAGGACGGCUGUGUCUCCCGAGGCUGGCGGAAGAGACGGUAGCCUGCUCUGGCGGGCAAGGAAGGUUCUGCCACCUCAACAGAGGAUGAGCCAGCACCUUCUCACAGACACCUCUCCUGGACACCAGAGAACCUCCGGCCGUAACCCAGCACCCAACAGCUGGGCAGCACGGGCAGCAACAGAUGCUGGGAGAAAAGCG